GGCCACAGAAAUGGAUGUUCUUCUCCUCCUCUGCAGGACCCUCCCUGCUCCGUCUGUGACCAGCCUUCCCCACGCCCCACAUCCUGAAGCUCCCGGACCACCUGCAUGUGCAGCAGCAGGAGGCAGGGCUUGCAUGACUGCCACCAGGAACAGCUACAGCUCUGAUUCACAGGCAUGGAGACAUCAUAUUAUUUGGACACAUUCUGCCUGGCUGCCAAUCCAAGUAACCGAGGGCUCCGGACCCUUAGAGGAUGCUUUCUUUCUCUCCCCCACAGCCAGCAGCAUCUUGGCUUCCUGUACUGUCUGAACUGGCAGGCCUCUCCUGCCAUCUCCCACACUCUACCUCAAGCACUGCGCCUCUGCCCCACGUGAGGAGCCAUGUAUCAUCCUAUACUUACUUCAUGUUCCCAGCUCACUUUUUGCAGAGACUAUUUAUUGUCUGCCGCCCUCCUUGAGGGCAGCCACAGCAACAUACUUGUGUCGUGAGGUGGUGUGUCAUCUACCUUCCACAUCCACAGAGGCGUACGGAGACUGGACCCAGAGUCAACAGCCAUUGUCAUUCCUCCAUCUCCAUCUUCUUUCCUGCCUCCUUCAGUCGGCUGCUGUUGGCAGAGUCCCUAAUAUGUUUAAUGGAC
rnacentral:lncRNA from 1 species